rnacentral:rRNA from 1 species
AUUGAACGCAGGCGGCAUGCUUUACACAUGCAAGUCGAACGGUAACAGGGAGCUUGCUCCGCUGACGAGUGGCGAACGGGUGAGUAAUGCGUCGGAACGUGCCGAGUAGUGGGGGAUAACGCAUCGAAAGGUGUGCUAAUACCGCAUACGUACUGAGGUAGAAAGUGGGGGACCUUCGGGCCUCACCGCAUUCGAGCGGCCGACGUCUGAUUAGCUAGUUGGUGAGGUAAAGGCUCACCAAGGCGACGAUCAGAAGCGGGUCUGAGAGGAUGAUCCGCCACACUGGGACUGAGACACGGCCCAGACUCCUACGGGAGGCAGCAGUGGGGAAUUUUGGACAAUGGGCGCAAGCCUGAUCCAGCCAUGCCGCGUGUCUGAAGAAGGCCUUCGGGUUGUAAAGGACUUUUGUCCGGGAGCAAAUGCCUGGUGUUAAUAGCACUGGGAGCUGAGAGUACCGGAAGAAUAAGCACCGGCUAACUACGUGCCAGCCGCCGCCGUAACAC